rnacentral:rRNA from 1 species
AUUGAACGCUGGCGGCAGGCCUAACACAUGCAAGUCGAACGAGUGGCGGACGGGUGAGUAAUGUCUGGGAAACUGCCUGAUGGAGGGGGAUAACUACUGGACACGGUAGCUCAUACCGCAUACCAUCGGAUGUGCCCAGAUGGGAUUAGCUAGUAGGUGGGGUAAAGGCUUACCUAGGCGACGAUCCCUAGCUGGUCUGAGAGGAUGACAAGCCUGACUGGAACUGAGACACGGCCCAGACGCAUACUGAAGGAAGCAGUGGGGAAUAGUGCACAAUGGGCGCAAGACUGAGGCAUACAUGCCGCGUGUAUGAAGAAGGCCUGCGGGUUGUAAAGUACUUUCAGCGGGGAGGCGUUACCCGCAGAAGAAGCACCGGCUAACUCCGUGCCAGCAGCCGCGGUAAUAC